AGAGUUUGAUCCUGGCUCAGAUUGAACGUUGGCGGCAGGCCUAACACAUGCAAGUCGAGCGGUAGAGAGAAGCUUGCUUCUCUUGAGAGCGGCGGACGGGUGAGUAAUACCUAGGAAUCUGCCUGAUAGUGGGGGAUAACGUUCGGAAACGGACGCUAAUACCGCAUACGUCCUACGGGAGAAAGCAGGGGACCUUCGGGCCUUGCGCUAUCAGAUGAGCCUAGGUCGGAUUAGCUAGUUGGUGAGGUAAUGGCUCACCAAGGCUACGAUCCGUAACUGGUCUGAGAGGAUGAUCAGUCACACUGGAACUGAGACACGGUCCAGACUCCUACGGGAGGCAGCAGUGGGGAAUAUUGGACAAUGGGCGAAAGCCUGAUCCAGCCAUGCCGCGUGUGUGAAGAAGGUCUUCGGAUUGUAAAGCACUUUAAGUUGGGAGGAAGGGCAUUAACCUAAUACGUUAGUGUUUUGACGUUACCGACAGAAUAAGCACCGGCUAACUCUGUGCCAGCAGCCGCGGUAAUACAGAGGGUGCGAGCGUUAUCCGGAUUUAUUGGGUUUAAAGGGUGCGUAGGCGGCGUCUUAAGUCAGCGGUGAAAUUUAGGGGCUCAACCUCUACCGUGCCGUUGAUACUGGGAUGCUGGAAUGCGGAUGCCGUGGGAGGAAUGUGUGGUGUAGCGGUGAAAUGCAUAGAUAUCACACAGAACACCGAUUGCGAAGGCAUCUCACGAAUCCGCUAUUGACGCUGAUGCACGAAAGCGUGGGGAUCAAACAGGAUUAGAUACCCUGGUAGUCCACGCUGUAAACGAUGAUGACUAACCGUCGGCGAUACACAGUCGGUGGCCAAGCGAAAGCGAUAAGUCAUCCACCUGGGGAGUACGACCGCAAGGUUGAAACUCAAAGGAAUUGACGGGGGCCCGCACAAGCGGAGGAACAUGUGGUUUAAUUCGAUGAUACGCGAGGAACCUUACCCGGGCUCGAACGGCAGAUGAAUAACGUAGAGAUAUGUUAGUCUUCGGACAUCUGUCGAGGUGCUGCAUGGUUGUCGUCAGCUCGUGCUGUGAAGUGUCGGCUUAAGUGCCAUAACGAGCGCAACCCUUGCCGUCAGUUGCCAUCAGGUGAUGCUGGGGACUCUGGCGGGACUGCCACCGCAAGGUGUGAGGAAGGGGGGGAUGACGUCAAAUCAGCACGGCCCUUACGUCCGGGGCGACACACGUGUUACAAUGGUGGGUACAGAGGGAUGCUACCUGGCGACAGGAUGCUGAUCUCGAAAACCCAUCCCAGUUCGGAUUGGAGUCUGCAACCCGACUCCAUGAAGUUGGAUUCGCUAGUAAUCGCGCAUCAGCCAUGGCGCGGUGAAUACGUUCCCGGGCCUUGCACAAACCGCCCGUCAAG
rnacentral:rRNA from 1 species